rnacentral:lncRNA from 1 species
AGUCUUGCAGAGUUGUGUCUAAUGCAGCAAGAUGCCUGCCUGUUUUCUUUGUUCCUAGCUGUCUCCAGGCAUCCAAACUAUGCCUGUUCCAUCAGUACUAAGGGUGAGGGAGAUGUUACAAGACAAGAUGAUUUCACUGGAAGCUGAGUUUUGCCAGCUUUGGGGAAAUGCUGAUGCAGAACAUCAUUUAUUUAAGGCUGAUACUCAUGGAUAGAAGAGUCAAAGUGCGAAUAUAUGCACCCUUCUAUACGGAUUCUGCAGAAAGAUAUGCUUGGGUCAUGACUCAGACAAUUUGGAGAGAAUUCCCUGAAACAUUCACUGUACAACUCUACUUUCUUGAAUACUUACUAUAAUUAAAGUUCAUUUCUGAUUUACAUAAA